rnacentral:rRNA from 1 species
AUUGAACGCUGGCGGCAUGCCUUACACAUGCAAGUCGAACGGCAGCACGGGGCAACCUGGUGGCGAGUGGCGAACGGGUGAGUAAUGCAUCGGAACGUGCCAUUGAGUGGGGGAUAACGUAGCGGAAGUUGCGCUAAUACCGCAUAUUCUGUGAGCAGGAAAGCAGGGGGACCGCAAGGCCUUGCGCUCUUUGAGCGGCCGAUGUCAGAUUAGCUAGUUGGUGAGGUAACGGCUUACCAAGGCGACGAUCUGUAGCGGGUCUGAGAGGAUGAUCCGCCACACUGGAACUGAGACACGGUCCAGACUCCUACGGAGGCAGCAGUGGGGAAUUUUGGACAAUGGGCGCAAGCCUGAUCCAGCCAUGCCGCGUGAGUGAAGAAGGCCUCGG